rnacentral:rRNA from 1 species
GGGAAAAGCUCAACUUUGUAAUCUGGCUCUUUCAGAGUCCGAGUUGUAGUCUAGAGAGGCAUUGCCUGGUGAAUUGCUUGGAUAUGGCUGUUGGAAUGCAGCGUCAAAGAGGGUGAGAAUCCCGUCUGUGCCAAGUCUUGAAGCCGUUGUGCAUUGUCUUCUAAGAGUCGAGUUGUUUGGGAAUGCAGCUCUAAUUGGGUGGUAAAUUCCAUCUAAAGCUAAAUAUUGGCGAGAGACCGAUAGCGAACAAGUACCGUGAGGGAAAGAUGAAAAGCACUUUGGAAAGAGAAUGAAACAGUAUGUGAAAUUGCUGGAAGGGAAACGAUUGAAGUUAGACUUGCGUUUGCAACAUUCAGCCUUUCUUCGGACUGGUGUAUUUGUUGCUUUUGCAGGCCAGCAUCAGUUUGCUUUGGUGUAUAAGGGUAAGGAGAAUGUGGCAUCCUCGUGAUGUGUUAUAGCUCCUUACUAGAUGCAUCGUCGCAGACUGAGGAACGCAGCUUUAUGCUUAGGAUGCUGGUUGAAUAGCUUUAACCGACCCGU